AAGCCACAAUGUUAGUAACAGACUGAGUAAUCUCAGCUACUGUUUUUCCUUUUCCAUUCCUGCUAUACUCCACAGGAAAAUCAUCUAAGACUUUUGCAACUAUAAUUAUUCUAAAGUCUGUAUUGUUAACACAGUGAUUACACUUAGGUUAGACUGGGACACUCAUUUAGGUUAGACAGAGGAUUUGCUGUAGGAAAGAGAGGGAUGGAUAGAAAGAGACUUAGAGUUUAAGGAAAAGACAUGAUUAUUCAUUUUUCUUUAGCAAAACCUAAGAAUCAUAGUAAUUCUUCAAAAUAUUGACUAGGAGCCAAAGGCUAAAGCUGUCUUCUUUUAGAAAAAAUAAAAUGUUCUGUCUGUUGGGAAUUAUUUUACCCUGAACUCCAUGGUCAGCUGACAUCCUUGACCCAACAGAUGGAAAGGUCAUUGUUAAAACAUAAAGUAGCUACUAUUUUAAAAAGUAAAUAUAAAAGACAUUUAGCUCAGCAAAAUAUUAUUUCUAAGCUUUGUACACUGAAAAGAAAUCCAAGAGUUUCCUGAAAGCUUUUUGUAGUUGAUAAUGUAAACACCUUUCUUCUGAUGCAAAUAACAGGGAUAUUUUUAGCACAGAUUAUAUGGCAUGGUACUUCUGAUGCUUACUUAUUUUUUGUAAAUACAUUUUCUAAAGAAGAAAAUUCACUGUCAGCAGGCUUUUGGGAUGUUCCAGGUCAUAUUCAGCAUCACAUCCUCUUGGCUUUCCGGGGCUGGACACAGGACACUUUCUGAGAUGUGCAAUUGCUUCUGCAGCCCCCAGAGACCCUCAAGGGGGUGGCUGUCCCCUGAGCAUCCUCUGGACAGCCCCUUCUAAAAUCCUGCCCCACAGCUGGAAGCCGGACAGCCUGCUCUUUAGUUGAAGGCGAUGGGGUAGCUGCUUAGCUCCUCCAUCCAGUUCCAAAAGCCAGCUAGCAAGCUUCGUGCCAAGCACAUGCCUUGAACACUCACCCAAAUGUCAUGCUUGGAGAGAGCUUUCUGCCAAGACCAUUCCACAUGUUUCUAGAGGUUCUUAGAUUGACAAGACACAAACAGAACUUGACAUGAGGCAAUAAAGAAAUAUGUGAGUAAAUGUGACAAGGCAGUGCUGUGGCUACCUCUAAUAAACAUGAGCGCAGCGGUUGUUAUUUCAGGCAAUUGCGUGCAAUGAAUGGGAAUCUGCUGAACGGUGAAUGAGGAGGGAACGCACAAACUUGCACACGUGUCUGUUAUCUCUGCCCGCUACCUUCCUUAUAUUUACGAUACAGCAGAGCAGAGCAUAUCUUCAGGACCGCAAGAUCAUUACUGAAAUGAGGAUUGCUCUGACCUUGCCCAUUGGGAACAUGUGCCAGAAGCUGCUGAUUGGAGCUACAGCUCCUGAGGGUAAAGGGAAAGGAUGCUUAGAAGUGAACUUUGUGCUUUGCUAAUACCUGGACAGAUGAUAAGUUGGUGUGGCCUCUCAUUUGUGCUGGGUCUGACCCUUCCAGCAAUUUCAGUCUGUAAUGGAGGCCCAGUAGAGCGCAUGGAAAUAUCCCACCUUGGCAGGUUGUUCUGGCAGUUAUCAAAUGUACACAUUGGGG